AUGCCCAGUGAUUAUAACAAGACGCGUUAUUACGAGGAUCAACACUGGAGCUCCCCUUCUACCUUCCUGCUGUUCCCUCCCCCCAAUCUUUACCUUUAUUCCUCUUGCUUCUCUCUCCACCCCACCCCCCCCUUUUCUUGGAGUUUCACUCCUUCCUCCUUCUUGGGAGUUUCCAGUGUCCUAUGAGCAAGAUUAUGAGAUAUGAGGGCAU
ensembl:snoRNA SNORD97 small nucleolar RNA SNORD97